rnacentral:rRNA from 1 species
AGAGCGAACGCUGGCGGCAGGCCUAAUACAUGCAAGUCGAACGGAUCCUUCGGGAUUAGUGGCGUACGGGUGAGUAACACGUGGGAACGUGCCCUUUGGUUCGGAACAACGUAGGGAAACUUACGCUAAUACCGCAUACGUCCUACGGGAGAAAGCAGGGGACCUUCGGGCCUUGCGCGGUGGGACGAACCGAUGUUCGAUUAGCUAGUUGGUAAGGUAAUGGCUUACCAAGGCGACGAUCGAUAGCUGGUCUGAGAGGAUGAUCAGCCACACUGGAACUGAGACACGGCCCAGACUCCUACGGGAGGCAGCAGUGGGGAAUUUGGACAAUGGGCGCAAGCCUGAUCCAGCCAUGCCGCGUGCGGGAAGAAGGCCUUCGGGUUGUAAACCGCUUUGUCAGGGAAGAAACGCUCCGGGCUAAUACCUUGGAGUAAUGACGGUACCUGAAGAAUAAGCACCGGCUAACUACGUGCCAGCAGCCGCGGU